GACGAACCGUGCGAACGUUGUUCGGAAUCACUGGGCUUAAAGGGCGCGUAGGCGGGCUGUCAAGUCUGGGGUGAAAUGCUGCGGCUCAACCGUAGAACUGCCUUAGAUACUGACGGCCGUCGAGGAAGGUAGGGGCAUGCGGAACUGUAGGUGGAGCGGUGAAAUGCGUUGAUAUCUACAGGAACUCCGGUGGACGAAAGCGGCGUGCUGGACCUUUUCUGACGCUGAGGCGCGAAAGCUAGGGGAGCAAACGGG
rnacentral:rRNA from 1 species